UACGGGGGGGGGCAAGCGUUGUUCGGAAUUACUGGGCGUAAAGGGCUCGUAGGCGGCCAACUAAGUCAGACGUGAAAUCCCUCGGCUUAACCGGGGGAACUGCAUCUGAUACUGGAUGGCUUGAGUUCGGGAGAGGGAUGCGGAAUUCCAGGUGUAGCGGUGAAAUGCGUAGAGUAUCUGGAGGAACACCGGUGGCGAAGGCGGCAUCCUGGACCGACACUGACGCUGAGGAGCGAAAGCCAGGGGAGCAAACGGG
rnacentral:rRNA from 1 species